rnacentral:tRNA from 1 species
GGAGAUGUGGCUCAGUGGCAGAGCACCUGUGUUUCAUGCAGACGGUCCCAGGUUCUAGCCCCGGCCUCUCCA